rnacentral:rRNA from 1 species
GACGUAGGGGGCAAGCGUUGUCCGGAUUUAUUGGGCGUAAAGAGCUCGUAGGCGGUUUGCCAAGUCGAAUGUGAAACCUCCAGGCUUAACCUGGAGACGCCAUCCGAUACUGGCAUGACUUGAGUCCGGUAGGGGCGCAUGGAAUACCCGGUGUAGCGGUGAAAUGCUUAGAUAUCGGGUGGAACACCAGUGGCGAAGGCGGUGCGCUGGGCCGGAACUGACGCUGAGGAGCGAAAGCGUGGGUAGCAAACAGG